AGUGGAAUUGAUGGGCUUAUGGUAAUUCUACACUUAAGUUUUGGAGACACUGCCAAACUGUUUUCCACAGUGGCUGUACCAUUUUACACUUCCACUAGCAAU
rnacentral:pre_miRNA from 1 species